rfam:Erinaceus europaeus unplaced genomic scaffold scaffold00437, whole genome shotgun sequence
GGAUGUGAGGGCGAUCCCGCUGCAGCGUCUGUCACCCCAGUGAUCGCCAGGGUUGAUUCAGCUGAUCUGACUGGCUAGGCAGGUGUCCCCUUCCUCCCUCACUGCUCCAUGUGCGUCCCUCCUGAAGCUGCAUGCUCGUUCGACGAGGACGGCCUUCCCCGAAUAGAGAAUGACCCGUGUUCGGUCUUUGGUCGAAGGUAUAGGAGUAGCUGCGCUCCCCUGCUAGAACCUCCAAACAAGCUUUCAAGAAAGGGCGAGGGUUUUUCCAGUAACUGCUGGGCGGGUGGUGUAGCCAGUUCUGGGGAUGAGGAAGUGAGAUUAUCAGCAGGU